AGAACGAACGCUGGCGGCAGGCUUAACACAUGCAAGUCGAACGCUCGUAGCAAUACGGGAGUGGCAGACGGGUGAGUAACACGUGGGAACGUACCCUUCGGUUCGGGAUAACACAGGGAAACUUGUGCUAAUACCGGAUACGUCCGAGAGGAGAAAGGUUUACCGCCGAAGGAUCGGCCCGCGUCUGAUUAGCUAGUUGGUGAGGUAACGGCUCACAAAGGCGACGAUCAGUAGCUGGUCUGAGAGGAUGAUCAGCCACAUUGGGACUGAGACACGGCCCAAACUCCUACGGGAGGCAGCAGUGGGGAAUAUUGGACAAUGGGCGCAAGCCUGAUCCAGCCAUGCCGCGUGAGUGAUGACGGCCUUAGGGUUGUAAAGCUCUUUUACCUGGGAAGAUAAUGACGGUACCAGGAGAAUAAGCCCCGGCUAACUUCGUGCCAGCAGCCGC
rnacentral:rRNA from 1 species